rnacentral:rRNA from 1 species
CGGUAAUUCCAGCUCCAAGAGCGUAUAUUAAAGUUGUUGCAGUUAAAAAGCUCGUAGUUGAACUUCCCCCGGCGCGGGCCCCUGUUUUUCGGGGGACUUGGGCCGGGGUCCUUCGGGAAAUUACUUUGAGUAAACGAGAGUGUUCAAAGCAGGCGCGCAGCCUGAAUCUUCAAGCAUGGAAUAAUAAAACAGGACAAUGGUUCUAUUUUGUUGGUUAUAAGCCAUCGUAAUGAUUAAUAGGGACGGUCGGGGGCAUCAGUAUUCAGUAGUCAGAGGUGAAAUUCUUAGAUUUACUGAAGACUAACUACUGCGAAAGCAUUUGCCAAGGACGUUUUCAUUAAUCAAGAACGAAAGUUAGGGGAUCGAAGAUGAUCAGAUACCGUCGUAGUCUUAACCAUAAACUAUGCCGACUAGGGAUCGGGCGCGCUCACAACAGACGCGCUCGGCACCUUACGAGAAAUCAAAGUUUUUGGGUUCUGGGGGGAGUAUGGUCGCAAGGCUGAAACUUAAAGGAAUUGACGGAAGGGCACCACCAGGAGUGGAGCCUGCGGCUUAAUUUGACUCAACACGGGGAAACUCACCAGGUCCAGACACAAUAAGGAUUGACAGAUUGAGAGCUCUUUCUUGAUUUUGUGGGUGGUGGUGCAUGGCCGUUCUUAGUUGGUGGAGUGAUUUGUCUGCUUAAUUGCGAUAACGAACGAGACCUUGGCCUCUAACUAGGGUGCGCAGCGGUAGCUACGCGACCUUCUUAGGGGGACUAUUGAUGUAAGUCGAUGGAAGUUCGAGGCAAUAACAGGUCUGUGAUGCCCUUAGACGUUCUGGGCCGCACGCGCGCUACACUGACGGAGGCAGCGAGUUGACCUUUGCCGAGAGGCAUGGGAAAUCUUGAAACUCCGUCGUGCUGGGGAUAGAGCAUUGCAAUUUUUGCUCUUCAACGAGGAAUUCCUAGUAAGCGCAAGUCAUCAGCUUGCGUUGAUUACGUCCCUGCCCUUUGUACACACCGCCC